rnacentral:rRNA from 1 species
UACGAAGGGGGCUAGCGUUGUUCGGAAUUAUUGGGCGUAAAGCGCGCGCAGGUGGUUCCUUAAGUCUGAUGUGAAAGCCCACGGCUCAACCGUGGAGGGUCAUUGGAAACUGGGGAACUUGAGUGCAGAAGAGGAAAGUGGAAUUCCAAGUGUAGCGGUGAAAUGCGUAGAGAUUUGGAGGAACACCAGUGGCGAAGGCGACUUUCUGGUCUGUAACUGACACUGAGGCGCGAAAGCGUGGGGAGCAAACAGG